rnacentral:lncRNA from 1 species
CGGUCAUACCAAUCAUAGUGGUCCUAAUAGAUAGUCUAUAGUCAUGAUAUUACUUAGCCACGGGUGGCCCCUACAGAUAGUGUGAUACCACUCUCAUCAGAGGGCACGCCAUUAUCUAUUAAGAGCAAUCCUCUUAUAUCUUUUCAGACUAAAUAGGAGAGGGGGAAAACAGCUACCCCGAAGGGCAAGGGGAACAAAUACCCCUCAAACAUAGAAAGCCUAACGAGACACUUGAUGCAAUAUGCAUGUCAAUACAAAUACACUUCGAACCAUACAGGCUUUAUUCCACUUUUCUCUU